GGUGUCUCCUCCUGAUGCUGCAUCUGCUGCUGCUGGCACCAUUGAUGUGUCUGUGGCUCCUGAUGUCAUGAAUUAAUGGAGCUGUCACUGAGUGAGUCCUACUCGAAUCCCCACCUAUAAAAAGAGUAACAAGAUCACUAAGAAAUAAAGAGGUGUGCUUCUUGUUAUGCAAAAUAAAAUAGAAUAAAAUAACAUACCUGUGGUGGCGUUGGUUGUGUGUCAUG
rnacentral:lncRNA from 1 species